CCCGAGGCCAUUCGGCCGAGGGCACGCCUGCCUGGGCGUCACGCUAAACACGCUCCCACCCCCUCAUCGGGAGGCGGGAUGCGGCAUGUGGCCUCCCGUCUCGCAAGGGGCGGUGGGCCGAAGAUAUGGCUGCCGGCGUAUCGUGCCGGACACAGCGCUAGGUAGGCGUUCUCGCUAAACUUAUCGCAGUGCAUCCGGGGCGUAGCCGACACGAUGGCCUCGAAAGACCCUUUGAACGGUGCGCAUGACGCUUCGACCGCGACCC
rnacentral:misc_RNA from 1 species